UUGCUAACAUUCAGUUGAGGACUCUAGUGAGACUGCCAGUGAUAAACUGGAGGAAGGUGGGGAUGACGUCAAAUCAUCAUGCCCUUUAUGACCUGGGCUACAAACGUACUACAAUGGCCAAUACAAAGAGAUGCGAAGUCGCGAGAUGGAGCGAACCUCAUAAAAAUGGUCUCAGUUCAGAUUGAAGUCUGCAACUCGACUUCAUGAAGGCGGAAUCGCUAGUAAUCGCGGGUCAGCAGACCGCGGUGAAUACGUUCCCGGGUUUU
rnacentral:rRNA from 1 species